rnacentral:misc_RNA from 1 species
GGCGGCCUCUUAGCCAUUGCUUCGUCGAUUUGAUUUCAAGAGUCCCUCGAGUUAAUUAAAGGUCAAAUCGGCGGAGUUUUGGUUAGAUCGACGUGUUGGCGUGUGAGUGGCUAAAUUAAUGUUUGUGUUGGUAGGCUCCCUGCUUUUGCAGCGAACUGUCGGCCCAAUCGUAUUUCAUUUUGAGGAAGUUGUGCUUGCCGGAUUUUUGUGUUGCCAACCCAAGUGACGGAAUUCAUAUGACCCGAUGCGUAACUCCUUCGAAAACCCCUCGAGGUGCUUGGUGGACUUUGAAGCUGCCCGUUUUAUGCCAUGCUCUCUCCCUUAUGGGGGAACCAUGGAAAAAAUGGCGGCAUUGCUUGUUGCCUCGGAUGCAGAGCGCGAAGCGAGCUUGAUGCCCGUCAUCAUUGCUCAUUCAGAGCUCUCGAUUGCUCGAAAAGAUAGACCGCCGCGCUUGGUUUCGGCCGCCGACUCGUCGGUCCUGCUCGAAACCUUGACGGCGUCUUCAAUGAAUGCUACCUGGUUGAUCCUGCCAGUAGUCAUAUGCUUGUCUCAAAGAUUAAGCCAUGCUG